GAUGAAGAACGCAGCAAAAUGCGAUAAGUAAUGUGAAUUGCAGAAUUCAGUGAAUCAUCGAAUCUUUGAACGCACAUUGCGCCCGCUGGUAUUCCGGCGGGCAUGCCUGUUCGAGCGUCAUUUCAACCCUCAAGCCCCCGGGUUUGGUGUUGGGGAUCGGCUCCGCCCUUCUGGGCGGUGCCGCCCCCGAAAUACAUUGGCGGUCUCGCUGCAGCCUCCAUUGCGUAGUAGCUAACACCUCGCAACUGGAACGCGGCGCGGCCAUGCCGUAAAACCCCAACUUCUGAAUGUUGACCUCGGAUCAGGUAGGAAUACCCGCUGAACUUAAGCAUAUCAAUAAGCGGAGGA
rnacentral:misc_RNA from 1 species